rnacentral:lncRNA from 1 species
CCAGAUGUGUGAGGACUUGAAUAUUUGACCAGCCCAUUUGGUACACUGGUUACAAUUACCAUGCAUUUUCAGUUCCUAAGAAAGUAAUAUUUUCUAUGCUAUUAAUUUACACUGACAUAUAUUUACAGGGAUUAGAUUCUAUAUGUUGUGUCUGAAAACAUUAAGGUAAAUGUUCACUCAUCUUAAAAAUUUAGACACAUAUCGGUUUCCAAAUUCUGAUACUUAUUAUAUUACCAUAUAUUUAGAUCAGCUGCCAAUAAACAUACAGUUACUGCACAUUUGUUGUUGUCAUAGGUCUAAAAUUCCAGAGUUCUGACAAUAAUGGCACUGGUCAAACUCCCAUUGACUGUGGUGUAGCAGGACUCAGUAACAGCUGAGGAUGUCAGAUUGAUUUAACAUUAGCAAACCUGGGCUGCAACACUUGCAGAGGGAUUUGUUGCUGAAUGUCACUGCCACGCUCUUGUGUAAGUGACAGUGCAUUUCCUGGUAUGAACAUGACUGAUUUUGAAGAAUAAACUUUGCACGCUGAAUCAGCAUAGGAGAAGGAAGAAGAACAGUUGUGUGGAAGUAACUUUGAAUCUGCUCAACAAAACCUUUUUCUGCAUCCAGAGACUCAGGGUGGUUGUGCUGAUACUCAGGGGAGUAAAGACCCAGUCUAACAACGAUGAAUCAUUAAACCUGAUGAUCCUCUACUGCAAGAAGGCUACUCCGUGCAAAGGUUGUCCUCCAGCUGGGAGAAUUGGUUUAACAGCACCAAAUCACACAGCAGCCAAGUCAAGUCACCAGGCAAGUAGGGAUGCAGAUGGAGUCUUGCGAGCACCCUGUAGUGCACUGCCAUAGACAAUAGGUAAAAUGAGGGCAGGCUGCAGCUAUCGGGUGUCUCUUCACCAAACUCUCGAGACAGACUGUGAGUCAGAGCUGGAAAUUUCAUGUUACUGGCCAUUUUAUAAUUGCCCCCAGUCUUGUCAAUAAAAAGCAAUUGUCUUUGUAAAGCUCUGUAAAG